CAGCCGCCGCGGGAAUACGAAGGGGGCUAGCGUUGUUCGGAUUUACUGGGCGUAAAGCGCACGUAGGCGGACUUUUAAGUCAGGGGUGAAAUCCCGGGGCUCAACCCCGGAACUGCCUUUGAUACUGGAAGUCUUGAGUAUGGUAGAGGUGAGUGGAAUUCCGAGUGUAGAGGUGAAAUUCGUAGAUAUUCGGAGGAACACCAGUGGCGAAGGCGGCUCACUGGACCAUUACUGACGCUGAGGUGCGAAAGCGUGGGGAGCAAACAGGAUUAGAGACCCGUGUAGUCCCUGUCUCUUAUAC
rnacentral:rRNA from 1 species